UACGUAGGUGGCGAGCGUUAUCCGGAUUUAUUGGGCGUAAAGCGUGCGCAGGCGGUUUAUUAAGUCUAAGAUUAAAGCCCGGAGCUUAACUCCGGUUCGUCUUAGAAACUGGUAGACUUGAGUAAGGUAGAGGCAAAUGGAAUUCCUAGUGUAGCGGUGGAAUGCGUAGAUAUUAGGAGGAACACCAGUGGCGAAGGCGAUUUGCUGGGCCAUUACUGACGCUCAUGCACGAAAGCGUGGGGAGCAAAUAGG
rnacentral:rRNA from 1 species